AUUGAACGCUGGCGGCAGGCCUAACACAUGCAAGUCGAGCGGAUGAAGGGAGCUUGCUCCUGGAUUCAGCGGCGGACGGGUGAGUAAUGCCUAGGAAUCUGCCUGGUAGUGGGGGAUAACGUCCGGAAACGGGCGCUAAUACCGCAUACGUCCUGAGGGAGAAAGUGGGGGAUCUUCGGACCUCACGCUAUCAGAUGAGCCUAGGUCGGAUUAGCUAGUUGAUGGGGUAAAGGCCUACCAAGGCGACGAUCCGUAACUGGUCUGAGAGGAUGAUCAGUCACACUGGAACUGAGACACGGUCCAGACUCCUACGGGAGGCAGCAGUGGGGAAUAUUGGACAAUGGGCGAAAGCCUGAUCCAGCCAUGCCGCGUGUGUGAAGAAGGUCUUCGGAUUGUAAAGCACUUUAAGUUGGGAGGAAGGACAGUAAGUUAAUACCUUGCUGUUUUGACGUUACCAACAGAAUAAGCACCGGCUAACUUCGUG
rnacentral:rRNA from 1 species